CAGGCUGCUGUAUUGAUGUCAUCUUUUUUUCACCCCAAGUUUGGCUUUUCCCAUGCUUUUCCCGUAGCUGCUGCAUUGGGUGUCCCCAGGAGGGCUGGGUUCCUCAGCAGGGGUCUUAGGAGUUGCUAUGGAUUCUGAUUUUUCUGAAGCUGUAUGGAAGUGUGCUAGCGAAUCAGCUCUUUUCUCUCCUGAAAAGCUUUCCAUCUAUGUCCACCCGUGCGUCUCUGUGUUUUAAUCACGUAGCCGGACGCGCUGAGGUUCUUACUUUCUAAGCCAAAAGCUGAAGCAGAUGACCGUUUGCUUUGUGUGUGUGAGGAGUGGCAUUUGUGCUGGAGAGCUGCGGUUGGGAACAAAAGAUGGACUUAAUGUGCUCUGGGGACGGGCACGGGAGGAAACGCACAGAAAGGCAAGGCAGUGAUGAUUGCGGAGGAGAAAUGAGAGGUGGUUGCUUCCGAUCCGUGGGGACUUUCCUUGGGAGUGAUCGAUCAGAGAGCGUAUGGAAGUAGAGAGCAUCUUCUGGCUGCUUCUGUUCUGUAAACUUCUCCCUGGCUUCACAGGUCCGUGCUGGAGAGUGGGAGAAGGGUCCCUGCUGGCUGCCGUGUCCUGGGUGGGCACAGAGCUCUGACCUCGGCCAGAUGGGCUGAUGAGUAUUGAAUCAAUCCCUGCCUCCUCGUGAGCAAGUUGUUUGAAGGAGUUUGAGGCAGGGACGGCUUUUAGCCGGCUGCAGUUCGGUUUCUUUCUCACAGGUUUCCGGGUGUUUUGAUCCUGACGUCGCCAAAGCCUCAGGUUUGCUGAAUUGGGGCUCCUACCUGUGUGACCCGUGAAAUGUCCCGGAAGCUGAUCGAUGUCUUCCUGCUCCCGCUGUGUUCAUUUGGGCUGUGCUUCAGGCUUCUCUCCCUGGGCCCUUGCCGUUGCCGUAUCUCUUGGAUGCCGUGCAGAACGGAAUCAGGCAGCCAAGCCUCAGGUUCACCUUCUCCCUCACCCUCUGCGCUGCUCGUGUGGCACAGCAGAUCCUGAAGCCAGAGGAGCACGUGUACAUAAGGGUAAAGAGAUUCCUUCUGUCACACCGGUAUUUGGACCUGAGGAAGGUACCAGGUUUUCUCCAGCUUUUCUACAGUUUUGAUUUUGAGUACAAAACAGCACGAGUGGAUCCUCAGAUUUCUUGGGGAAGGGCUGCGUGACAAACAUUGCUGUGAGCUCUAUGUCUACCAGAGGAUUUUCCGGGUCAUUCUUUCCCUUCUCAGCAGUCCUUUGUGUGACCAGGGCUCCCAGAGUCCUAUUCUGGAGAUACGACAGAGUGCUGCCCGUGUCACCUCUAGAGCUGCCCAUGAGCCGAUAGAGGAUCACAGCCUCCUCUCGUGGGUCCUGCACGGCUUAGAGAAAAGGUAACCAGCCAAGUACGGGAGACAUGGGGACAAUUUCCUGUCCACGGCUGAAGAAUGACGUGGCUGAGGAUGAAAGCAAGGGGGACAGACCUGGAGACGGGGGCACCGAGGGCUGCACUGGCAGAACUUGCUGAACGCUGAGGUGUCCCUUGUGUUUUUGAGAAGAGAAUCAAGAGGCUUUCAGGUGGUGGUGGGAGGGACGAUGGUGGGGGGGCUGUGUGAUUUGGGAAUCACUUCCUUGACAAAGCAAAAGGACACCUUGUGCUGGUGUCUUUAGCUUUGAAAUUUCAAGCAGCCUCAGUUCCCAUCCUGUCACAGGACCUGCUGCACAGGAAGUGGCACAGUAAUGGAUUUGAGCUGUCUAGAACGUUACUUCUCCUCCCCUUGCCUCUCCCUGACAAAAAAAAUCUCUUCUGCAAGCACAGAGUGCCCUGACAGGUUCAGGCAAGUGCACCAAAAGUGCCCUAGAAUAUGGUCCCCCGUAGGAGAUGGACCAGCUGCUGGUGAGGAUCUGCCUUUCAAAUGUGGUUUUCUUUUCUUUUUUUUCUUUUUGUUCUGUUUCAUUUUGUU